CACGGAGUUAGCCGGUGCUUAUUCAUACUGUACCUUCAGCUACCCUCACGAGAGUAGGUUUAUCCCAGUAUAAAAGAAGUUUACAAUCCAUAGAACCGUCGUCCUUCACGCGGGAUGGCUGGAUCAGGCUCGCACCCAUUGUCCAAUAUUCCUCACUGCUGCCUCCCGUAGGAGUCUGGUCCGUGUCUCAGUACCAGUGUGGGGGAUCACCCUCUCAGGCCCCCUAAAGAUCACUGACUUGGUGAGCCGUUACCUCACCAACUAUCUAAUCUUGCGCGUGCCCAUCUCUAUCCACCGGAGUUUUCAAUAUCUAAUGAUGCCAUCAGAUAUAUUAAUGGGGUAUUAAUCUUCCUUUCGAAAGGCUAUCCCCCUGAUAAAGGCAGGUUGCACACGUGUUCCGCACCCGUACGCCGCUCUCUCUGUCCCGAAAGACAAAUACCGCUCGGCUUGCAUGUGUUAGGCCUCCGCUAGCGUUCAUCCUGAGCCAGGAUCUAAA
rnacentral:rRNA from 1 species